CUCGUUUCAGCUUGGAAGGUUUAGAAUGGACCAGCCCAUUCUGGUGAGCGUUUCCACUGUAAGUCAGACGUUUCAGGGCCAUGCAGGGUUUAGAAAAAAAUGCUCUUCCUGUCCACCAAUCAAUGGAUUGAAUAGUAGCUCCGCCCUAACGAACCGUUCCAUUUCCUAUGGCCCUACAUCUGAAGCAGGACCCUGAAUGGAUCGGUACGGUUUGCUUGUAUGGACUACUUUCAUAAUGGAAACACCCAAAAGAGUGAACUGUACCGAUCCGCUCAGUGGAAUCGAGGCAUUAGUUUCACUUUGGUGAGCAUUUAUCAUAUGGACUGGCAGACAGUGGCCUAUAGAUGCAUCUUACAAUUCAGACAUAAGUUUAGUGCAUUAUACCAUAUCCAUAAACUAGUGUUAUCUUAUAAGUACUAUUAACCAAACAAUACAACUCCUAUACCCAACAUUAGAAUGGGUAUAUUUUCAGAGUGAAACAUCUUUAAAAUGACCACAUCACCACCAAACACAUCCACUUUGUUCCUCCCGGGCAGAUUCUCACAAAAGACACAUUGAUCACCGCUGCUGCUAAUAUUAACAUACACAAAGCACCAAUGGCAGAACUCAAUCCAUAUUGACUGUCUUUGGCAAACAGUAUGGUACAUUUGUAGAGGAAGUGUUCCCUUAACUAUCAUUUAAUCAGAAGAUGUAAACACCUAUAAAUAGCAGCCAAGCAUGUUUGAGAUCUUGAGUCCACUUACCACUCGAGAUUUUCAUUUAAAAGGGACACUAUAGUCACCUGAACAACUUCAGCUUAAAG